AUUCAAUUCGUUGGUUUAAAGCAGUAAUGAAGUUAAACAAUCACCUCUCUCUGGAGUAUGCUGGGAGUGGGUGUGACUAGCAUGAGAGCUGCAUGUGAGGAUUUGCUGUAGGACAUGUGAUUCGCUCAUGCCCGGAGAGAGCAGGUGAGAGCCGGCCAGCUGCUCACGCAGAGGAUCCGCCGCCCGUUAAAGCCGAAAGCGGAGGCUCGGUACCGGACGGACCGCAGGGAAGCAUGCAGGCCUCGCAGGAGGAAACCCGAGACAAUAGCUAUCUUCGAGGGUGAACAAAACGAACAAGAUGGUGUAACGGAGGAAGUGUUGCCUAAUGAGGUAGAUGUUUUAAUGGAUGCUGAUCUUUCCAAAUUAUCCACCAAGAGGAAAAACCCAGAAAAUAAAUCACACUGAACAAAUUUCAAAAGUGUCAAAGACUAAUCCAAUGGGCUGUUCAUCUCAGUCAGAGGACUGUUUUAUAAACACAGAGGGUGAAAGUGAUGUAAGUGGAGACUCACAGAUGGACAGGGUGCUUACUCUUUCACUGAAAUUCAGUUGUUUUUAAACAGGACAAAAGGCAUGAGAUCAGUUAAAGUUGAGUUUUUCCCAGAUUUAAAAUUGUUCCUUGACUCUAUUAAACUGUUUAUGAAAAACACGGAAAGCACCGACCAGCCAACUUUUGCCGAACAAGGUUAUCGUCUUAAAAAAAACUGACAAACGUUAGCGCGCAAAUAGCGAAAGAUGGUUAAGUGUCUCUCACAUUUUGCUCUUCCCUAUUUGGUCAACCUCACGUUUCUACUUAAUGCAGCUUAACAUUUUCUAUGUGUGACACAAAGCUGGGAUCCUUAAAUAUUAAUGGUGCUAGAGAGGAUGUGAAGAGAGCGUCCCUUUUCAGCUUGUUUAAGGUCAAGAAGCUAAAUAUAAUCUUACGAGAAACACAUAGCACAGCUGAUAAUGAAACUGCAUGGAAGAAAGAAUAGGAUGGGGAAAUAUUUAUGUCCUAAGAGCAGUAACAGCAGUGGAGUUUGCACCUUGUUUUCUAGAGAUUUUUUUUUACCCAUCUCUUGUGUAACUGAGGAAAUCAUUGAGGAUCAUUUGUUAAAAAUACAAGCUGUAUUUGAAAAUGUCAAAUUGAUUUAUCAAUGUGUAUGAUCCAACUGUAGGCACAGAAAGGGUGGUUUUCAUAAACAUUUUAAAUACUGUUAUUAGUAAUUGUGGUGAUGACUGACAUGUUCCUGGGUGGUGAUUUUAACUGCACUGCAAAAGCGAUGCUGGAUAGAAACCACCCAGAGCCACGUGGAGCUAGCUAGGGAUGUUUGGUUAAAUUAAUCGAUGCAAAUGUUUGGAGGCUCUUCCACACCACUCAGCAUCAAUAUACUUGGGCUCAUGUAAAAGAUAAUUCUUUGUCUUUGGCAAGACUUGAUAGAUUUUACUGCUUCACACAUCAAAGCAACAUACUUGGAAGCUGUUUAAUACACCCAGUUGCUAUUUCAGACCAUUCCCUUGUCCAAGUUUCCAUCUUUGUCAAGGAUGUUCAAUGCAAUAGCGCCUACUGGCAUUGUAAUGCAUCCCUGUUGUCUGAUAAUGUUUUUAAGGAUGUUCUUGUAUAUUUUUUGAGAAGUUAUACAAAACAAAAUCUGAAUACACUUGUCUACAACAGUGGUGGGACAUAGGGAAGGCAAAGAUCAAACAGCUGUGCAAACAGUACACUCAAUGUUACAAGGGAUAUGACGAGGUCUAUGAAAGAUUUGGAGAGUGAAAUGGUGAAGCUGCAGGAUUUGGCAGACUCCACAAGAAAAGAACAUCUUAAAGUUCUCCAAAGGAAAGUCAGCUCUAUCUAACCUGUUGGGUUUUUCUGCCCAAGGUGCUCUGGUUCGCUCUCGUCAUCAAAACGUUGUCAAAAUGGAUGCAUC
ensembl:lncRNA